rnacentral:misc_RNA from 1 species
GAUGAAGAACGUAGCGAAAUGCGAUAAGUAAUGCGAAUUGCAGAAUUUCCGUGAAUCAUCGAAUCUUUGAACGCACAUUGCGCCCCCUGGCAUUCCGGGGGGCAUGCCUGUCCGAGCGUCAUUUCUGCCCUCCAGCCCGGCUGGGUGUUGGGCGCUGUCCCCCCGGGGACACGCCCCAAAGGCAGUGGCGGCGCCGCGUCGGGUCCUCGAGCGUAUGGGGCUUUGUCACCCGCUCGGGACGGACUCGUCGGCGCUGGUCUUCCUCCAGGCGACCCUUCGGGGCUCGUCUUCCUUCGGUUGACCUCGGAUCAGGUAGGGUUACCCGCUGAACUUAAGCAUAUCAAUAAGCGGAGGA